rnacentral:lncRNA from 1 species
CGUAACAUAAAUAUUAGUGUGCACCCUUCAUUUCAUUGCAAGUUCCUUAUAGCCUAUGGCAACUAUAAGAAAUAUGGACUUCGUGAACGUGCAGGAAAGUUGCUUUUAGUGAUAAGAAUUAGGAAAGUGGUGGGAGCUUCUACCUCUUAGAGGUGUCAUCAAUUAUCAUUAGAGUCUUGGGUGAUUUUAAAGCACCGGUAU